GAUGAACGCUGGCGGCGUGCCUAAUACAUGCAAGUCGAGCGAACGGACGUGUAUCUUGCUUCUCUGAUGUUAGCGGCUGAUGGGUGAGUAACACGUGGAUAACCUACCUUGAAUACUGGGAUAACUGCGGGAAACCGGAGCUAAUACCGGAUGAUAUGUGGUACUGCAUGGUUCAAAAGUGAAAGACUGUGUUUGUUUGCGUUAUAGUGUGGUCCGCGCUGCAUUAGCUAGUUUGUAAGGGUGCGGCUUACCAAGGCAACGAUGCAUAGCCGACCUGAGAGGGUGAUCGGCCACACUGGAACUGAGACACGGUCCAGACUCCUACGGGAGCACGCAGUAGGCACACUUCCGCAAUGGGCGAAAGCCUGACGGAGCAACGCCGCGUGAGAGAUGAAGGAACUCGGAUCGUAAAACUCUGUUAUUAGGGAAGACAAAAAAUGUAAGUAACUGUGCACAUCUUGACGGUACCUAAUCAGAAAGCCACGGCUAACUACGUG
rnacentral:rRNA from 1 species